rnacentral:rRNA from 1 species
CUGGCUCGUACUUGACGGGUACGGGGAUUAGGGUUCGAUUCCGGAGAGGGAGCCUGAGAAACGGCUACCACAUCUAAGGAAGGCAGCAGGCGCGCAAAUUACCCAAUCCUAAUACAGGGAGGUAGUGACAAGAAAUAACAAUACAGAACCUUACGGUUUUGUAAUUGGAAUGAGUUAAGUAUAAACCCCUUAACAAGUAUCAAUUGGAGGGCAAGUCUGGUGCCAGCAGCCGCGGUAAUUCCAGCUCCAAUAGCGUAUAUUAAAGUUGUUGCAGUUAAAAAGCUCGUAGUUAAUCUUCUGUUAAUUUUUAUAUAUAAUAUCACGAUAUUUAUAUAAUAUUAACAUAAUUCAUAUUACUUUUUAGUAUAUGAAACUUUACUUUGAGAAAAUUAGAGUGCUUAAAGCAGGCUAUUGCCUUGAAUACUCCAGCAUGGAAUAAUAUUAAGGAUUUUUAUUCUUCUUAUUGGUUCUAGAAUAAAAAUGAUGAUUAAUAGGGACAGUUGGGGGCAUUUGUAUUUAACAGUCAGGGAA